ACACGAUGAAUAUUUAAUGAAGUUUGACGGCGGGGCUGGGAUACACGUGCCAAUCUGGUCGGUGCUUAUACAGAACAGGAAAUGGAAGCUGGGAAUAGAGUCAGCGUCGGAUCGGGGACAACGCCGAGGACUGAAGGAUAUGAACGAAUUCCUUGUCCGACUUGCAAAAGGAAAUUUAUAGAGGAAAGCUACAACAAACACAUAGACAUAUGCAAAAAUCACGCAAAGAGAGCGUCCGAGAGGACUUCGUUCGACUCGUCAAAACAGCGAUUAAGCCAACUGCUGGAUGAGGUCAAGCUCUCAAAUCAGACCCUGCCGCCAUACGGAGGAGAAAUACUUCGUUGAGAGGGGAAAACGUUAAUUUUAUGAUAUUGAGAGAACAACAAGGCGCCCGGCCAGAGAGAAAAACGUGUGUGUACUGAACAACUGACGGAAACAAAACAGAAAAGCCCUACACCGUCUGCCAACUAAGACUCUCAUCAUUCGGUAGGCCAAUCAGAGGUCGGAGGCUUAAAAUAAAGAGAAAUGAAU
rnacentral:misc_RNA from 1 species